CGUUAUCAUCAUCACCGAU
rnacentral:sRNA from 1 species